CAAAGGUGGAUGAGCAGCUCUGAAAAGGGUUUGGCAAGCCCUCACAAUCAGGGAGGGAUGCUAGUCCUCUCUGAACACUCCAUCCACCCUAUUGUUUCACUUUGUUGCUUCAACUCCCCAAUCAUCAUCCAGGGGCUGGUGCCAGCACUGGAGUAUUUGUUUGUUUUUUUCCCAGAAAGAUCAGAAUGCUCACCAUUGUCCUAAGAAUGAUAGCAAGCACUUGGGGACCAUGCUAAGGCUAGUCAAGCAGUUUGUCAUUUGGUCUCAACCUGGGGAGAUAGGCGCUAUUAUUAUUCCCAUAUUCCAGAUGAGGAAACUGAGGUAUGUGAAUCUUAAAACUGCUCAGACUCUACUUUAGAAGAUUUGAUUAAGCUAUUCCCCAUUUUUUAACAAUGGAAAUACUUGAUCAGGAAUGUAUUGAGAACUUUUAAAUUACUCCACUCUACUCAGACAGUGCCUUAGGGGAAGAUAAAGUUGUAAACUCCUGAUUGAACAAUGAAUGUACUUAACUCAUACCUUAUAGUAAAGCUAGAACCUUAAGCUAGGUCUAUUUUUAGAUCUAAUACAAAAGGGUGCUAAAUACCUAUAAAGGUUAAAUUAAUCACUAAAAGGUCAAGCAACUUACAAAAGGCAAGCUUAACAAAAGAGGUGUGAAGUACUCAGUAGAUUUGUAUCUAACCAGAGAAGGUGAGAACAAAAAGAAGAUGUGAACUAAGAAUGGGCAGUCCAGGGGAAAAGUGUCUACUGUGAUUGGUAGAUGUGAAAAUUUAGGGGAGGUGACACAAGAGAAAAUUUCUUUAAAAGGAAGGAGAGUUCAAAAUUGAGUCUAGUUGGAGUUCAGAGUUUUUGGAUUGGAAGUUAGUUGGAGUAGGAGUUCAGAAGUUUGGAGUUUGCUUGAAGAUGAUCUUGUGAGUCCCUUACAAGAACUUGAAAGUGCUUCACCCAAAUUGAAGGGGACUGGCUCCCUACUGGAAAUGCAGAUUUGAAAUUCAUGGGGAGAGCCUUCUAUACAACCCCCUAAAUAAGGUGAUGACCACUCUCUUGAGCCCCCAACUCAUGACUCCUCAUGAACAAGACUGGGUCCUGAGAAUCAAUGUACCUUGCAGGCAAGAUCCAAUCUUAGGAAGAGAUAAAUCAGACCUUGAAGCUGCUCGACAGCAUUUUAGGUGGUAUCAGUACCCAGAAGUAGCUGGACCACAAGAAGCCCUCAUCCAACUCCGGGAGCUCUGCUCUCAGUGUCUAAGGCCAGAGAUUCACACAAAGGAACAGAUCCUGGAACUGCUGGUGGUAAAACAAUUUCUGAUCAUCCUUGGAUUUGGGUGAAGCUAUGAAUCCUUAUGAUGCUAGCCUUCUUCAAGUGGAGGAAAGAGAAGAGAGAAUGACUCCUGAACUUCUGAUGUUGAGAUCUCAGGUGCAUUGAUAUUUUCCCUUUUUUGAAAUGUUUUUUAUGAUUUGGAUUCCUUUCUUUCCAUUAUCUUGUGACCCAAAAGACUUGAUGGCACCAUUCUGAUCAUGUUGAACUUCUAAAAGUGUAGGAAGUGUGAAGAUUGGAUUUAUCUCUCCCCUGAUUGGAUCAUUGACCAAAGAAGCAAAGAGAACAACAACUGCUGCUGAGGGAUGCUUUACCCCUGAACCUCACAGGGGUCACCCUGAAGGCCUGUCACAUCAUGUUGCUUCCCAAGAAGGACACUAGUGACCUGUUUAGAGUAGGCUAGUGGAGUGAUUAGAGAGAAAGGAGGAAAGAAACACUGAAGCCUGAGCCAUUUGGCUUGGAUGAAGAAAGAAGUAACAAACUGCUUGGAUAGUACUAUAGGGUUUCCUUAUUCUUCUGACCUAAUCUCUCCCAGGAAUUCCUGAACAAAUAAACCACCCUUUUUCUGAGGAAAGGCAGUCAGAUCUAAGUUGUCUCAUAAGUUAAGGAAGGAGAGUUUAAAGGAGAAAAAAAGUUGAUUAUAAGCAUGGCAUAUUUCAAAGAAUAUCUUUUGAGUGCACUGGUCCUUUUAUUUAUCUCACUUGAGAUUCAGGAAAAAAAAAUUCAGCUCUCUGAAAUUCUUUAGCUAACUUUGGGGAGGCAGCUGGGUAUCUCAGUGGACUGAGAGCCAGGCCUACAUAUGGGAGGUCCUCAGUUGAAAUCUGGCCUCAGAUACUUCCCAGCUGUGUGGCCCUGGAUGGGUUGCUUAAACCCCAUUGCUUAACCAUGACCAAUCUGCCUUCUGACAAUAGGCAUCUAAAUGUAUAAAAACCCAAGGAACUUUAAAAAGACUGGAGGUUAUAUUUUUAAGGCAUUUCAGACUCCAAUGAAAAUCUCUGUAUUCUAUUGCAUUUUACUGUUUGCUUUAAGAUUUAACUUUGUGAUUUUAAGUUCAUAUAUUAUUGCAUUCCAUACUAUUCUGGUACACUGAAUCAUUUUAAUGUACUGAGUUUUAACCACUGUUAAAUUCUGUUGCUUUUCCCCUAUAACCAUAUUGAACAAAUAUCAUUGUAAUCAAGCCCAUAUAAAAAAAGCCUUUCUAUUUUUGACUUUGUAAAUUGUCACAUAGAGAAUGGAUGGACUUCAUCAAAACUGGUUACAAUUGCUAUAACAACCUUUGGAAAGUUUAAUGUGGUAAAUAUCUCAACUGAUUUUAAGGGUUUUUUAAACAUGAUUUUUAGAUAACAAUCUCUGGUCAUUUUUGCCUGCCCCUAACACGAGGUGCUACCAUUCAAAUAGCUGAAGUGAAAUACAAUUUAAACCCCCAACUCCCACAUUUCUAAAAAUGUGACUGGAAGUUGGGCAGUUAAUCUCAGGGCAUGUACCCUUAAAAAGCCUCCAAAAAAGGAGCACCUCUCAUUUAUAACUCUUCAGCUCACUACUUUACUUCCACCAGAAUGAUAUCUAGAUUUCUUGAUGACAUUCUAAACCCCAAAUUGUUUUUUACUUUGUUUAAAACUGUAUUUGCCAAGGUUGAAAGAUUUGCUACGUUUGUAAAAAUUAUGACAAAUAACCAUCAAUUCAUAGGCUUUUAAAAAUGCCAAACAGCAACUUAUGUGAAAUAUGAUAGUGUGUUUGUUUGCUAUUGUACUUAACUGGGCUAUUGAAAAUUUUGGGGAUAUUGAUAUCUAUAUAUUUGUAAUACUAUUCUUUAUUAAAAAAACACAAAACCUUGUAACAUUUAUUUGCUCAUACUCACAGUGGAUCAUGGCCAGGUAUGAAGAGGAAAUGGAUCUCAUUUUUGGUGUGAAAGCCUUGUAUUCUAUAUUUCCUUAACUGACACAAUGUGUCAAUGAUGAUAAGCUAUAUUUUUGAAUUUUUAAAACUCUUUUAUUAUAUUUUUCUUGCAUGUGCAAUAUACUAUUUCAGUUUUUUUAUUUUUUCUCUCCCUUUUUAUAUUUGAAGCACAUGUCACCAGCAUUAAGAUUUUCUUUAACUUUUUGAUUUUGCAGUAAUAUAAGUUUAAGAUACAUUUGCUAAUGCAUGCCCUAAAAGCUUGAGACUAUAAAAAUGAUGCCACUAAUUAUUCAAAAAAAUUAUGGGACUUUGCUUAAUGGUUCUGUCUGAUUCCAGGACAAGAUAUACACAAAAGAGCCAUUGCAAAGGGCCAAAGAUAAGCCAAUCCAGGAUGGAUUGAUGCACUUCCAAGCCAAUACAAAGGACUUGAACCUAGUAUGAAGACUCGAGGUUGCUAUGUUUAACAUUGUUACGACAUAGGCCUACCUUGUGUGUCCACCCUCACUCAGAAAAUACAUACAGACAAGUAUCCCAAACCUUGGCUCCUACCUGGCUCCUAAAAUCUGGUCCCUUUUCUGUCUUUCAUAGAGUGGAAACUUUCUGUAGUCCUGGCUACUGACUAGGUAAAUGCAUCAUUGCUUAGAUCAUUUUAAUUAGGCCCUGAUUCAAGGACCUGUUAUAGAUUUAUUUUUCCUUUACUUGGAAUUUUUACACAUAAGCCUUUGAUAGUCUAUAUUUUCAUUCAGCAAUUUUCUUUUUUAUUUGGAUUUUUCUGAUGUCUUUUUAAUUUCUCUUGCCAAUUGAUUCAUAUACCUAAUAACUCAGCUAUGCACCCCUAAGUGAUUCUGUGUUUUUCAAUCACCCUCAAGAUGGGGAAAUGUAAAAAAUAUUAUUAUUUUAAGUUGCAAAGUUUAAAUUCCUUUUAAGAAAAAUUUUAGGUAAAGAAAGAUGCUACCUCUCUGAAUCCAGAAACUGAACUGUUUGGAGAAGACACCAUGAAGAAGCCUCCAGACCAUAAGCUGCACAAGAAGAUCAAGAAUGGACUUUGGGUGUGGUUGAUUGAAUAUUUAUUUGUAUCUAUACUUUCAUGCCAAAGGGGACCGCCCCCUAACUGGCUUUUUGUCAAUGCAUCUAGCAAUUAUUGGUUUUGUUCUUUUUUUUUCUCUUAUCCUCAUAUUAUUAUAAUCUUUAAGUUGAUUAUGUUUUCAUGAUCCUUUGGGGGAUUUUUUCCCCAAGAGGAUCAAAUGGUGAAAUGCAAAAAUGGAGAUUUGAACCCCAGACUUCAAUCCCCAGAAGUCCUUGCUAACUCCCAGAAUUCUCUCUAAUCUCCCUGAGUGCAACAUCACAAAUUUUUAUUUAAAGGAGCUCUCUGCCUACUGAGCUCUUCCUACUUCCACUUCCAAGCAGAUGCAGCUCUCUACCUAGCAAGUAAGAUGUGAGUGGUUGAGAAUGGGCUCUCUGGGCCUAGACAUGUGCUUUCUUAUUCUGUAUUUUCUUUAAUUCUUAAUCUUAAUAAACCUCAUAAAAUAUAAUACUUGUAGCAGAGAAACUAAUUUUUGCUUGCCACAGUUUGGCGCUUUUAAUCUUUUAAUCUUAACACUUCACAGGGAUAUCCCUGAAGUCAUAUAAGUUUGAAGAUAUCAAAGAAGUUAACAGUGUCAUAGAAGAAAUGAGACUAGUACAAAUUAAACAAUUAUAUAAUUUUUCUUAUUUAGCAAAAUUAAUUGGUAACAAAGAGGAAAAACUAAGUUAAAGAAAGGAAAGACAAGAUUAGGUUCUGAGGAUAAGGACAGAGAUUUUAAAAGUUUAGGAAAUGAUUGAAUCCUUUAUUUUACAUUAAAUUCAACAAAAACUGUCUAGUAAACUAUUUUAAAAUUAUUUUAAAAUUCUUAUUUUUAGUGGAAUCUGAUUGAAAGAGCCCAGACCCAGUCAACAGACUUCUUCCAAUACCCUCCCCUAACAUUUACACUGGGUACCAAAAUAGAACUCCAUUAGAAGACUCAGAAUCCUGAAAGCACCCUAAAAUGCUUAGAUAUUCUGCUCCAAUUACCCAUUUGACCUCCUUCUUCAUAACCAUUAUGCGAUAAGGGUUUUAUGUGAACCAGAAUGGGUUUGACAUUUCAGGAAUCUGACAUUUAAGGAUGUGGCUGUGGAUUUCACCCAGGAGGAGUGAGGAUGAUUGGAUUCAGACCAGAGGGACCUAUACCUAACUGUCAUGCCAGAGAACUGCAGGAACCUAGUCUUUCUGGGCAAGAGUAGCAUUUAUGUUUUGAUUCAGGCUCUUCUUUUAGUACCUUCAUUUCCCUUUUUCUUAUAGGAUACGAGUUAGCUGGGUGUAUAUCACCAGAGACGUCUAAUCAAUCCCUUUGCAACUAAGAGAAAGAUAAUUUCUCCUCCUUGUUCCCAUACAUAAAGGCUUUGUUUUAUAUCACUGCAAAUUGGCAGACUGAGAAUGCUGCCUCUUAGGCUUCAUCUUCCACAUCAUCUUUCUGGGCAGUAUCUCCUUAAGAUAAAUAUUUUCCCAGGGUAAGUCCUGGGAUAAAUUACUACAAUUAUUGGAAACAGGUUCCUUCUUCCUAAGGGAGAAAAGGACAGAUGGAUUCUAUGACUUAUUCUUCCACACUUUCUUGGAGUGUUAUACUGAACUUCCUUAUUUCAAAAUCUCCUAGGCUCUCCUUUUGUGGCCUCUCAAUAGGAGUUUGUAACUAGAAAUUGAAAAGCUGAGGUGGUUUUUGAACCCAAUAGUCAUUUUGUACCCUAGUACCUAAUAGUCAUUUUUUCCAUUUUUUUCCACUUGAGUAGGAUUUCUAGUUUCCAAACCAGAACUAAUUUUCUGUAUGGAUCAAGGGGGAAGAACCAGGAAUCCUGGAAAGAGAAGUCUCAAAAGGUAUUUGUUCUGGUUAAUAAGUGAGUGAAACCACUCAGAGGAAAGUUGUGGAAAGCAAAAAGGUCAAAUGGUUCAGUUAAAUUUUGAGCCACAAGAUCUCUUCAGGGUCCUUCAGGUCUAGGGGAAGAGUCUGAAAUAUGACCUUAACACACCUGUCCUCAUGCAUUCUCUAAGCUGAGAUAAUUCCUAACACUUUUUCUCUGAAUUUUCUCCCUAUAAUUUUAGAUAUUUUAUUGAUUUUCAUUAGUGCUUAUUACUGUUUAUCACUAUGCUUUAAUUAUUUUUCCCAAUUUCUUCUUUAACCUGAUUAAUGGUUUAUGGCUUUUGUUUUUUAAUUUUCUAUGUUCCCUUAAAGUUUUAUGGGGUCAUAGAUUAAGAGGUAGGCAGUAUGUAUAUCAGCUAGUCAUAUUUUUUUAUCCAUGUUAUCAUUACCUUCUAAUACUUAUAUUGCCUUCUGGUCUGAGAUUAUAAUAUGAUUUUUUUUAAAUUUAAGACUUCUUCAUGGCUCUAUUAGGUCCACUAUAGCAUUUGGAAUGAGGCCUUCUGAGUUUAAAGAAUUUUAAAAAGUGAGAGGAAUAUCAGUUAUUUCAAUACAUUAUAAUUUCUUUUAAUGGAGACCUCUCCAAAUGAGGAAUUAUGCAGUAAUCUAGUGUCUACACUAAGGAAGAGAAAAAGGACGAUCCACAAAUUCAAAAGAUGUAUUAAAGGGUAUACUUUGCAGACAGCAGAGUUGGGAGUGUGAUGUCCUGGGCCUCAGAAUCUGCAUCCAGAUAGGGGUAAUGAUGUGGCCAUUCCCAAGGUUAGGGAAGCUCCCUUAUUCAAACCAGAAAACCUCCGGAAAGACAGACAGGGGCAUUAUUACAUAAUAUCAAAAGGAAAUAACCAGUAUAGUACAUUAUGUUACAUAACAUUACAAUAUAGUAUUUUACAUUAUGAGCACCAAACAAUUUUAGUAGUUAAUUUCAUAAAAGAAAGUAUUAUUAUAAGCAUCAGUAACAGCUGGUUUGGCAUCUUCCACAGAUGGUUUCCCAUCUUUCCCUUUUUUACAAGAGUAGUCCAUUCGUGACAUUAACAGACAUUCCCUCCUUUUCAGAGGUUUCAGGAUAGUGAUUGAGGUGAUGGAAAAUGUUAGCCUCCACCUCCUCUCAGAGAUCUGUAUUUUGGGUUCUUUGAGCACAGUACCUGGUUGAGGACUAGACAAUAAAACUAUACAAUCAAAAUGUUUUCUCUCUUUCCUUCAGAUUAGGUAUCAAAGGGAGUAAAUUCUUUGAGAGUAGGGAUGAUUUCAUUUUUUGUAUCGGUAUAUCCAAUAUCUAGCACAACACCCUGACCCCUAGCAGGCACUUAAUCAAUACUUGUUUAUUGGUAUGUCAGGUGCAAUGAGGCCAUUUGAAACCAGAUAGUUAUCCAUGCAGUUAUUAUUGGGAAAAAAUGGGGAGACCUCAAUUAAUUUUAGGGGUAAAAGACAGCAAGGAACAACACAAGGUACCAACCAGUUGAUACAUCCAUGAAUCUACUGGGGAAUUUUGUAUCAUAAAUUGUCUGGCUAGUGGCAGGAGAUUGACCCUGACUAAUUCUUUCAAGUGAAAACUCAAAGGCCUUUUGCUAGAAGUACUUCCAGCUUUCCCCUUGAAUUACAAAUAGGAAAACUGAUUAAAAUUCCAAUGAAGGAGUAGGGAGGAGAGGAACUUGAUUUUCAAAUCCUAAAAAAUCCCUAAAUAUUAAUAAAGCAUUUGUAUAACUAUAUAUUAUAUGGCAAGCAAUUUUAGUUCACAUUUUCUAGAGUAAGAAGAAAUCAAUACCUGUAUUUAUAAAAUUCUAAGAGGCGCUUGCAUGUCCUCACAGAAGAAAGACCCUAGAAACUGUAAUUCCGACGGUACAAAAUAUGUCAUGGCAAUCAGUUUUAUAAAGAUCCAACAACAAUGGCCAGAUAUGUAAUUUUUAUGACAGUUCCCAGUACAUUCCCUAAUUGUUUGAAUCAGUUUUCUCUAACAGCUUGAAGCUAUUAUUUCUAGCUUUUUAAAAUAAGAAACUCAGAGAUGUGAUUUCUUGUUAUUUUUUUCCAUGAUAUUUCAAUGAUUACAAAUUGAGAUUUCUUUCUAUUAU